UACGGAGGGGGUUAGCGUUGUUCGGAAUUACUGGGCGUAAAGCGCGCGUAGGCGGGUUAGAAAGUUGGGGGUGAAAUCCCGGGGCUCAACCUCGGAACUGCCUCCAAAACUGCUAGCCUAGAGUUCGAGAGAGGUGAGUGGAAUUCCGAGUGUAGAGGUGAAAUUCGUAGAUAUUCGGAGGAACACCAGUGGCGAAGGCGGCUCACUGGCUCGAUACUGACGCUGAGGUGCGAAAGUGUGGGGAGCAAACAGG
rnacentral:rRNA from 1 species